rnacentral:rRNA from 1 species
CAGUCGCCGCGGGAAUACGUAGGGUGCAAGCGUUAAUCGGAAUUACUGGGCGUAAAGCGUGCGCAGGCGGUUAUAUAAGUCAGAUGUGAAAUCCCCGGGCUCAACCUGGGAACUGCAUUUGAGACUGUAUGGCUAGAGUGUGUCAGAGGGGGGUAGAAUUCCACGUGUAGCAGUGAAAUGCGUAGAUAUGUGGAGGAAUACCGAUGGCGAAGGCAGCCCCCUGGGAUAACACUGACGCUCAUGCACGAAAGCGUGGGGAGCAAACAGGAUUAGAUACCCGUGUAGUCCCUGUCUCUUAUAC